GACGAACGCUGGCGGCGUGCCUAAUACAUGCAAGUAGAACGCUGAGGUUUGGUGUUUACACUAGACUGAUGAGUUGCGAACGGGUGAGUAACGCGUAGGUAACCUGCCUCAUAGCGGGGGAUAACUAUUGGAAACGAUAGCUAAUACCGCAUAAGAGUAAUUAACGCAUGUUGGUUAUUUAAAAGGAGCAAUUGCUUCACUGUGAGAUGGACCUGCGUUGUAUUAGCUAGUUGGUGAGGUAAAGGCUCACCAAGGCGACGAUACAUAGCCGACCUGAGAGGGUGAUCGGCCACACUGGGACUGAGGCACGGCCCAGACUCCUACGGGAGGCAGCAGUAGGGAAUCUUCGGCAAUGGACGGAAGUCUGACCGAGCAACGCCGCGUGAGUGAAGAAGGUUUUCGGAUCGUAAAGCUCUGUUGUUAGAGAAGAACGUUGGUAGGAGUGGAAAAUCUACCAAGUGACGGUAACUAACCAGAAAGGGACGGCUAACUACGUGCCAGCAGCCGCGGUAAUACGUAGGUCCCGAGCGUUGUCCGGAUUUAUUGGGCGUAAAGCGAGCGCAGGCGGUUCUUUAAGUCUGAAGUUAAAGGCAGUGGCUUAACCAUUGUACGCUUUGGAAACUGGAGGACUUGAGUGCAGAAGGGGAGAGUGGAAUUCCAUGUGUAGCGGUGAAAUGCGUAGAUAUAUGGAGGAACACCGGUGGCGAAAGCGGCUCUCUGGUCUGUAACUGACGCUGAGGCUCGAAAGCGUGGGGAGCAAACAGG
rnacentral:rRNA from 1 species